GUAAUCUUUAGGCAUAUUCAUGAGUAAGCAAAACGUGAUAUUUGUGAGAGAAGGUAUCCUUUUCCGCGUUUUUUGUUGUAGUGUCGGAAAAAUUAAAUUCGUUGAAAUAAUCAACUCUCAAACAUUGUUUUAAAAUGAAAAACGCAUAACCUCUUUCAAAAUUAUAGGAGUACGAUCACAACAAAGUAACUUACAUUCCUGUGUACCAAAUAUCAAGGAUGGCGAAUGGCACUGCUGCUAAUAAUAGGUGACUUGAUUUCAUUGUUAGUAGUUAUCAGUUGUUUAUAAUAACUUUUCGUCGUAAAUCCUUUCUUAGAUCAAAUUUAAUUCCACAGACUUGUUGCAAGAAAUCUUUGUCAUCGUGUUAAACAUGUUAAAUACAUAAUGAGAAUGAAAUAAUUAAAAAUAUCGAUGUGUAUUAAAUGGUGAUCUUAUUAUAAUUAUCCCUCUUAAUGUAUAAUCUUAUCAAUAAAGAUUUGUAUAUUUCUUUUUUAUAA